rnacentral:sRNA from 1 species
GUGCCAUGGCGGAGCCUGUAGGAAAGCGGGGCCGCUGGUCCCGAGGUAGCGGUGCCGGCCGAGGGGGUCGGGGCGGCUGGGGCGGUCGGGGCCGGCGUCCUCGGGCCCAGCGGUCUCCAUCCCGGGGCACGCUGGACGUGGUGUCUGUGGACUUGGUCAGCGACAGCGAUGAGGAAAUUCUGGAGGUCGCCACCGCUCGCGGUGCCGCGGACGAGGUUGAGGUUGCGCCCCCGGAGCCCUCGGGGCCGGUCGCGUCCCGGGAUAACAGCGACAGUGACAGCGAAGGGGAGGACGGGCGGCCCGCAGGACCCCCGCGGGAGCCGGUCAGGCGGCGGCGGCGGCUGGUGCUGGAUCCGGGGGAGGCGCCGCUGGUUCCGGUGUACUCGGGGAAGGUUAAAAGCAGCCUUCACCUUAUCCCAGAUGACCUAUCCCUCCUGAAACUCUACCCUCCAGGAGAUGAGGAAGGUAAGGGAGGGCCGAGAGGCACGCAGCGCUGGCUUCUCUUAGGAGACUUCUUGGGGUUUAUAUUCCUGCAGUCCGUUGUCUCCUGAGGCUCAAGGGAAGAGCGUGGGAGAGGGGACUCCUGCAUUCCAGCCACAGGAGCUGGAUUGUUAACAAGAUUAGAAUGUAUUAAUGUAUACAUUUCUGGUGCCACCUGAAGAGAUGCUGAUUCUGUAGUCCUGGGCGGGGCGGGAGGCGGUAAGGUGUUGAGAAUCUGUGACAUCUUGUUACAUCUACAGCAAGUUCUUUGGGAACACUGGAGCCAGCAGGGUGUUCUCUGAAUCUUGUCAGGGAUGCCCUGUCUUUGUCCUCCCC